AUCCUGAGACCAUGACCUGAGCUGAAGGCAGAUGCUUAACUGACUGAGCCACCCAGGCGUGCCAAGGGUAGAUACAUUACAGAGUAAAGAUGUUCUCCAGGCCUUCCAACCUGGAGUCUCAGUCCCCUGAUUUGUGAUUCAGUCUAGACCAGCACAUGGGAGAGUGAAAUCUUGAAAUUCACUACCUCUGCCUGAGUACGCUCAUAGAAAAAUGGAAUUCUGCAUCCGAAAGACACCACAAAGGAGGUCAUGUUCGAGUAAGAGGCCACGUGACAGCAGGAUGAGUUGCAGGACCAGACAG